rnacentral:rRNA from 1 species
CCCUAUGGGGUGCGGAGAGGGCUGGACGACUUCCUUCCGUUCAUGGACGCGGCGGCGCAGGGUGAAAAGAUCGUUGCGCUUGUUGCCCCUUCGGCUGCGUCGGUUUUCGGCGAUGAGCUGCUUCGCUUCAACGGCUGGCUGUGUUCGCUCGGCGUGAACGCGGGCUUCGAUGUCAGCUUCGGCGCCGAGCUUGCCGUGCGUUCCUAUGGCAACUAUCUGAAAGCCGGGAACCAUCCGACGGUGAUAGCCCAGCCGUGUACUGCUCUUGUGAGC